rnacentral:sRNA from 1 species
GUCUCUGAAGGAGUUCUGAUUGUAACACAGUCACCCCACUAAGUGCUAGCACUCAUUGAGCUAAUGUGGUUGCCUAGGAAGUUGUCUCCAUCCUCUCUCACUGAGAUAUGCAUCCUUCCACCCCAGCCCUCAGCUAAGAAGAAAAGUCUCUACCUCCUCUGAUAUAAGAGGACCUUUCUUCACUCAAGUGUCAACAAAUGACCACACUCCCCUGCUGGAUAUAGGAAUAUAAAUUGUACACUUGAUGUGGGUAUAGGAGACUAUUGUGGAAAGAUACUUACAAGAGAAACUGAUAACCCAGGUUAGUUUCCGCAGCUU